ACGUGGUUCGGGCCAGACAUAGACAUACCCCUUUGAAGUAGAGAAACCAUAGUUAUCCUCUCUAUUAUGCUACCAUCGCCCAUAUACUAGAAUUGCUCUACUCUCUAUUCCCAUAUUAUCACUCACUGUUAUAUUACCUUUAAUAUUGUUCUUAUUCAAUUCUACCCUCUUUCCUAUUUACACUUAUCUAUCUAUCCUGGUUAAGUUAGAGCGUAGUUAGUUCUCCCGUUUCCCUGUGGAUACGAUAAAACCUUUAACCGGGUAAAAGCUUCAACGGUAUCCGUGCGCUUGCGGAUUAUCUGUGUGCGUAUAAAUACCAUAGUACACUCUAGUGCCAUGCUGGGGAUGACAACCUAGUAUUGAAGUGGUGUUAGCAAGUGUCAACAAGCAUUUUUGGCGCCGUUGCCGGGGAAACGGUUGCUGAGUUGACUACGAACUAGCUUAAUCAUUUUCUAAAAAAUAAAAAAAAUAUUUUUCCUUUUAUCCUUUGCCUUAUCUCUGCUACUCUUUCUUCUUAUCUAAUCCUUGAUCUCUGGUCUAUUAUGAAUUCAAACAUGUCUAUCUAUGAAUUUCAUAGACCUAUGGGCACACAUCUCGAACCACCAAAAUCUUCAAAGCGUAUCAUAGCAUCUAGUUUUGAGAUAGACCCCGAAUACAUAGAAUUUAUUCAAAAACAACCUUUCUCAGGAGAAGGUGAGGAAAACCCAUACACACACCUAAGAGAGUUUUAUCGAGUCUGUGACCUCCUUCGCAUAGAAGGAAUGUCCG
rnacentral:lncRNA from 1 species